AACGAACGCUGGCGGCAUGCCUAACACAUGCAAGUCGAACGAGACCUUCGGGUCUAGCGGCGCACGGGUGCGUAACGCGUGGGAACCUGCCCUUAGGUUCGGAAUAACUCCCCGAAAGGGGUGCUAAUACCGGAUAAUGUCUUCGGACCAAAGAUUUAUCGCCUUUGGAUGGGCCCGCGUUGGAUUAGCUAGUUGGUAGGGUAAAAGCCUACCAAGGCGACGAUCCAUAGCUGGUCUGAGAGGAUGAUUAGCCACACUGGGACUGAGACACGGCCCAGACUCCUACGGGAGGCAGCAGUGGGGAAUAUUGGACAAUGGGCGAAAGCCUGAUCCAGCAAUGCCGCGUGAGUGAUGAAGGCCUUAGGGUUGUAAAGCUCUUUUACCCGGGAUGAUAAUGACAGUACCGGGAGAAUAAGCUCCGGCUAACUCCGUG
rnacentral:rRNA from 1 species